UUAUUGUGUUAACAUCUCUUUUCAGUGGUAAACAUCUUUUCUCUGCCUUGGAUAGACAUGUAUCCAUGUUGUUUCAGUAGUGAACAUCUUGAAUUUUUUGAGGUUGAUAACUCGAGGACCAAGACUACAAUGUGCUUUGAAAAUAAAUAUUAAAAUAUUAUAUAUAUAAGCCUGCUUCUUACUGAAUCAUUAUAAUGUGAUUAUUUAAAAUUAU
rnacentral:misc_RNA from 1 species